UUAAUGGAGAGUUUGAUCCUGGCUCAGGACGAACGCUGGCGGCGUGCUUAACACAUGCAAGUCGAGCGGAAAGGCCCCUUCGGGGGUACUCG
rnacentral:rRNA from 1 species